UGGCGAGGAGGUUUGCCUUAAAUGUAAAUGAUUAACAGAAUGAGCAGCUUAACUAGAUUAGGGAUUUCUUUUCCAAUUAACAACGCUUAUGACCCAAACUAACCCUAAAACCUAAACAUAAGUGAAUGAGACAAUGGCAUAAUAUUCAAAAACCAACCACAAUUACUGAAGAAGGAUCAUUCACACGCAUAUGCACAGUUACACUAUAGUUGUAUAAAGCAACUUUGAACCUAACAAGAAUUCGAACAAAAAUUACAAUCAAGAUUAUUAUUUUCUUCAUUGCAUUUCUAAGCAACCAAACAGAAAAUGACAAACAUCACACACAAGUAAUCCAUAGAAACAAAUAAGAAAAAUAAAUAUCAACAAAACUGAAUGCAAUAAACAGAGAGAUCGAAAAUUUUA
rnacentral:misc_RNA from 1 species